rnacentral:rRNA from 1 species
GUGGCGAACUGGUGAGUAACACGUGGGAAACCUGCCCAGAAGCGGGGGAUAACACCUGGAAACAGAUGCUAAUACCGCAUAACAACUUGGACCGCAUGGUCCGAGUUUGAAAGAUGGCUUCGGCUAUCACUUUUGGAUGGUCCCGCGGCGUAUUAGCUAGAUGGUGRGGUAACGGCUCACCAUGGCAAUGAUACGUAGCCGACCUGAGAGGGUAAUCGGCCACAUUGGGACUGAGACACGGCCCAAACUCCUACGGGAGGCAGCAGUAGGGAAUCUUCCACAAUGGACGAAAGUCUGAUGGAGCAACGCCGCGUGAGUGAAGAAGGGUUUCGGCUCGUAAAACUCUGUUGUUAAAGAAGAACAUAUCUUUGAGAGUAACUGUUCAGGUAUUGACGGUAUUUAACCAGAAAGCCACGGCUAACUACGUGCCAGCAGCCGCGGUAAUACGUAGGUGGCAAGCGUUGUCCGGAUUUAUUGGGCGUAAAGCGAGCGCAGGCGGUUUUUUAAGUCUGAUGUGAAAGCCUUCGGCUCAACCGAAGAAGUGCAUCGGAAACUGGGAAACUUGAGUGCAGAAGAGGACAGUGGAACUCCAUGUGUAGCGGUGAAAUGCGUAGAUAUAUGGAAGAACACCAGUGGCGAAGGCGGCUGUCUGGUCUGUAACUGACGCUGAGGCUCGAAAGUAUGGGUAGCAAACAGGAUUAGAUACCCUGGUAGUCCAUACCGUAAACGAUGAAUGCUAAGUGUUGGAGGGUUUCCGCCCUUCAGUGCUGCAGCUAACGCAUUAAGCAUUCCGCCUGGGGAGUACGGCCGCAAGGCUGAAACUCAAAGGAAUUGACGGGGGCCCGCACAAGCGGUGGAGCAUGUGGUUUAAUUCGAAGCUACGCGAAGAACCUUACCAGGUCUUGACAUACUAUGCAAAUCUAAGAGAUUAGACGUUCCCUUCGGGGACAUGGAUACAGGUGGUGCAUGGUUGUCGUCAGCUCGUGUCGUGAGAUGUUGGGUUAAGUCCCGCAACGAGCGCAACCCUUAUUAUCAGUUGCCAGCAUUAAGUUGGGCACUCUGGUGAGACUGCCGGUGACAAACCGGAGGAAGGUGGGGAUGACGUCAAAUCAUCAUGCCCCUUAUGACCUGGGCUACACACGUGCUACAAUGGAUGGUACAACGAGUUGCGAACUCGCGAGAGUAAGCUAAUCUCUUAAAGCCAUUCUCAGUUCGGAUUGUAGGCUGCAACUCGCCUACAUGAAGUCGGAAUCGCUAGUAAUCGCGGAUCAGCAUGCCGCGGU